UACCCUAUUUCUCAUGUUAUCGAGAAAAAACCAUAGAGAAAAUGUGUGAGAAGAAAAAGAGAGCUCGGGAGAAAGGAGAGUAUCUGUGAGGGUUCAACAUCAAGUUCAGAGUUGAUCAAUCUAAGCUAGUACAUGUAGAAAUCAACAUUACUUCAGAUUAUUUUCCUCCCAUCACACAAUUUUUCUACAAUAAGUUAUGAAUAUUUUGAAGAUGCAGGGUACUACUAUUAGUAGUGGAGCAUGGAAUGUGGUUAGAUGCACGUGGAAUGUCAUUCUACAUAGGAUAAAUUUUAUUUUAUUUUAGAACUCUGAAUAUAGUAAUGUUUGGCUUGAUUUUCUUACUUCAAGUUAAGUUAAAUAUUUAUGCAUCAAUGUAAUAACAAAUUAUGUAAUUAGUUAUUUUAGUUUGUGUUUGGAUUUUAAAGUGUUGGGCUAUGGUGGGAGAAAAUGAAAUGCAUAUGAAAUUGUCAUACUUUAUUUUU